UGUAUUAUGUGUUGCAAAUCCUGAUUUAUUCAUGGAAAGUGUCUUAAUUUCAUUCUAACUUUGUCAUGUUUUUUCAAAAUAAAGUUUUCAAGGAUUCUGGUCUUGUAUUGUAUCUUUAAUGUGAUCGUGUUACAUAUCCCAUUUAUAUUUUUUGUUUUUAUUGCAACCAAAACAAUACGGUAAUCAUUGGUCUUCCAAUACGUUCAUUAAUGCAUACACGUAUAACCUAUUUAAUUAUGGUAUAGAGCCGCCCCUUGAAAGAAUGAACAAAAGUAUACAAGUCACGUGAUUCGUGUUAGCGCGAAGGAAUUGAAAUUUGCAUUUAAACUUACACGUUAAAGGAAAAAACAUGUCACAAACUCCACAAGGAUAUUUUUUGAUCGUCUCUGAGGACGGAGACUUUAGAAAACUAAUCACAAUUUUGAAGGAGGAUGCAAUACCAUACGAAAUCAAAGAUGAAAAGGAGCGGAAAAUCAAGUUUAAGGACGAGGCGGAGCUUGACAGGGCGGUAAAGCUCUGUGAGCGGAAUAAGAUAAAGACAAUGUAAUAAGUUUGCUGACCAGAGACCAAGGACCCAGUAAAGAACACAAUAAUUGGACACAUGUGGGGACACUUUAUUCAUCAGAAACAAUUCAAGACUUUUACUUGCGGACUUUUUAUAGUGUUUGAUGUGCUUGUGAAUACAAUUUCUGUUAAAACGUCAAUAUUCAAUAAUGAAAAACGCUUAUCAAUAAUUAUUCAGAUACAAAAACUAACUGAGUUUUCUCCUAAAUUCAUAAUUUUAGUUGUUUCUAUUGACUUCUUUACUUGGUCUUUGAAAGACCAGUUCCGUUUACUGAUAUACGACGUAUGUAGUUUAGUGCAUGCUUUUAUUAGUCUAAUGGCAUACAGUCGACUCCGCUUAUAAUGAUCUCACUUUAAACGAAUUAUCGGGAAUAAUGAACUUAAUUUAAAACCCCGGCCGAAUCCUUCUCUAUUUUAUGUAAAAUUAAAUCGCUACUCGAAUAACAUACCAUUUUCCUAACCAACGAUGGUAAAUUUUCUCGUUUGUUACGAACUGUUUUGAAAGAAUGUCAAGUUUUCGCGCAGUUAAAGAUCAGAACAUACAUAUCCGUAUCCGAUCAUUAUUAAAUCGAAUAAUUGCAAAAAAUAUUCCCUUGCCGGGAGUGUUACAGACGAUGAUUUCGUUAACGUUUGAAAAUUCACUUGAAACCGGUAACAGUGGCAAAUUUGCCCACCUGAAUAUGACUUCAAAUUUUGUCGUUUCUUCGCUUCUAUCGAACUUCUGAUAUAACGAACGAUAUUUCAGGGUCUAGUUAUGAAGUCGUUAUAAGCAGAGUCAUGUGUAUUUUUUUACUUUUUGUCAUGCUUUGUCAUUUAUCAAUAUGCGCGCUCCCUUGAUCAUUUUUUCCAUAUCAUUUUUCAGCCAUUUUAUUAUAGUUUUUGAGAAACAUGCGUUCACGUAACAAGAUUAAAACGUCUUAAUAGAAUGACAAUGACUGUGUUUCAUUUUUCAUCUAAAAUAUUUUAUUGCGGGAUUUGAGGGAAUAUAGGAACUUAAUUUUUGCAAACAUCUUUAAACCGUUGCAAGUACGUAACUGAGUUGAAUAUGAUUUAUUUUUCGCUAUAUGGCAGAAAAUCAAAAUAAGAUAGCGUGCUCAAAAUAACAUUAAAUACAGCAAUUUUAUUAUUUCUUUCAGUAUUCAGUUUAGAUAUUGAUUAUAAAUAAUUUUAAGACUAACUCAACUUCAGAGUUUAUUAUUGAAAUUCAAAUUAAAACUACAAUGUUGAAUAUUAGGUGUCCAGAUGAAUGAACUGUGGUUACAUUUUUUUUUUCAAAACAAAAAAAGCCGAAGAACAUUAUGCAAAGAAAAAAAAACACUAUAACUACUGUAAAUUCCGCGGUAAUGGCGUUGUUUGAAUAAUCAAUAUAUAUGUGUUCUUUGUUUGCAAAAAGUACAGGAAGUCUUCCAGAUGCGAGUUAUUAAUUCGCUCGUGUUUCGCACUCGUGACUUAAUUACUGCGCAUCUGAACUCCUGUCCGACAAAGCACAAAACAUAUUAAAUAUUUCUUGAAGAGACAGUCCAUACUUUUGUACAAAAUUUUGUUUAAAAAAAUGGCUCCACUUUAUAUCUUUAUACAUAACAAAACAGAAAAAUUUCAGAAGUCGAAUUACUGUUCAUGAAAAAAGAAUUGCAUGUUAAAGGGAGAUAAUAAGUUUGAAGUGAAACACUUUAAAAUGUUAUCAGAUUUGCUAGUUAUUUACUUUCGCAUCCUUAAAUAGUAAAAAAUAAAUGAAAAAAGUGAUUUUCUAAGAAAUAAAUUUUAUCGCAUUUUCAUAUUAAUUUAUCGUUGGGAUUUUAACGCUUUGUCAUAAGUUACUCAAUAGUAGAAAAAUCGUUUAAGUAACGGACUUAAUUUAUUUUAAAAAAAGCAAAACAUAUAUUUUCUAAGGUGUUUUGCAUAAGCUUUAACCCUUUUAAUGCUGCAUUUUAAUAAUGGACUAGUCCAUCUUCAAUGUUUAAACUUAUCUAUUGUCUUUUUGGGGGCUUUAAGAUAUGAAUUGGAAAAAUGAGCAGCCAACAAUAAAGAGCCUGGUUAGCCGGCAUGUUCUGUGCCGGUUGACCUGGCUCUUUGCUGGUGGCAAAGGCUUUUCAUAUUCGUGUUCAGCAUUGAAAGGGUUAAAUAUAAUACGCUUCUGACUAAACAUUCUUGUGAUCAUUCAUAAUGCAUGUGUUCCAUUAUAGGCUCUAUUGUAUUAUAGUAUAUUACCCCUUUCCUUCCUCUUAUGUAUUCUAGUAUAGUAACCUUUUACCUCUUAUGUACUUAAGUAUAUUUCGUAGAAAAUAAAGAUAUAACAUCGUUUACAACGUUUCUUAUUUCUAUUUAAAAGAAUAAACCUAUAAUGGUGGUCUCAAGUGACAGGGUUUUCAUGUGUCGUCUUCCUUCGGAGCUGGCCGACUCUGAAUAAACAUAUACAAUUUUUAUCUGAAGUUAUUUGAAGGUCGUUGUCUGAAGAAUUUAUAUUGAAACGUGAAAUGAAUAUGAAAACAAUUAUUUCAUAGCAUUAAUGAAUAUAUUCUAAGGAUGCACUUUAAUACAUUGUUACCUGUGUAAACUUUUACAGGCUACAUUUUCUUAUUAAUUCUCCUGACAAUUUACUAAAAAUAAAUUCGUCAGCGGAUUUAUAGUUUCUUUGUUGGUAUAACAUAUUUUUCAUCUAGUGGGAAAAAAAAUACAUUUCCCUGUUAUAAGAAAUAAACAUCCAAUAAAAUUAGCGAUGCAGUUAAUCUCUUAGCAGCUUGCCAGUAUGGUUGCUUUCUAAUGACACUGAUUUAUUACCUCUGGUCAGUCUCGCAAAUUAGAUAACCCGUUAUGUGAUUAAUUUAAACUCUUGACCAGAUUGUGUCUAAACUCUUGACCAGAUUGUGUCUUUCAAACAUAGUAAUGAUAUUGCUAUCAGUAAGGAACUUACAAAGAUGCAUUUUUCUACAGCUAUGCCCCGUCAUAAAGAAUGUAAGUUAUGAUGAUGAAAGGGGAUUCAACUAAGUUAAUGUUCCCGUGCUUAAUAUCUAAGCACGUUUCAUUUUGUUUGAUUGUGUUUAAAUUAUCACGACAGAGCUUAGUUUUCAUUAAUGUUUUAGUACAGACAAAUAGAAAGGAUAAAAAUAAAUAUUAUGUUUUGUGAAUUUGCCUGGCAAGGAAUUGCUAAACUUGCACUCUUUUGUGCAAAAUUCCUGCUAAUUUUCAUAAAAGACAUUUUUUUUCCAAAUAGAUUUUCAAUAUAAAAGAAAUUGUAGUUCCAUCGGACGAAUAUCUAAAGGAGUUACAGAGACAAAAAACCAAAUAACACCUUGUAUAAUAAUGUACCAUCCAUGGCCUCAAAGCGUUGUAUUUAUUACCAAGCGAUACAUUUAAUGUGCAGAUAAUUAGAGAACAGAGAUAAUUUCUGUAUUGAUUAAUCUGAAAGAAUAAGUUUUGAAAAAGGAAUCUGUUUGUUAUGCUUCUUUUUGUAUAAUAGAUAUUUAAUUGUAUUUGUGUGAUAAAAAUGAGCAAAAAAAUUCUAAAAGGUUUAGGUGUUUUAGCAAUAAUCACUGUUGAUAAUUAAUGUAGGUGUCAUUUAUUCGACUAAUUCAAUUUAGAUACGUUGUUCAAUGCACAACCAGCUACUCUCUUGCAUAAAACAUCAGUCUAUCACUUAACAUAUUUAACGCAAAAUACAUUUGCAUGCUGAGGAUUUUCGUAAAUUUCAUUCAUAUUAAUUAUUAAUUGCAUUUUUUAAAUUAAUCCUGAAGAAAGUUAUUUUCACAAUAAAUACAAAGAAGUCAUUGCCAGAAUCUUGCACUUUGAUGUAUGAAUGACCAGUCUGUUGAUACUUUAUGCCAUUACUGACCGUAAUGUCAUGACCGACCGUUACCGUUAUUUUACUUUCAUGGGCAUCUGGGAGGAUCUGCCAGAGUUAGAACCAAUUAGCUUUAUGGUUAAACAGCGCACAAAUUGCCGAUCUUUAAGUUGGGAGGACGUGUAUUUUCAUUUCUAGUAAGGUGUAAAGUUGAGACUAUCAAUAAUGUCGGCUUCACGAAGUAAAAGGAUGAAAAUCAAGUAAGAUUAUUUAUCAAAUUCAUAUUGUUAUUAAUAUGCUAGCAAUUAAUUAAUGCACUUUGCAAAACAGGUCAGACGAGGUACGGUACGAUUUUUUCUUCCGGUGUCAGUUUGUAGCUUUUGCUAACCAUACACAUAUUACUUUCUUAAAUAAUACCAGUCCUAUUUUAUUCUACAUUGUGUAUAUAAAUGAUAAGACCGAUAUCUUCAACCGAAUAUGUUGAAAUAUAUUUUUUAUAUUUUUUUCUCAUUUUUACUGUUACAGUGCUGAUAAUCAACUUAAACAAGCAAAAGCAGCAUGUAAAGCCUAC